AACGAACGCUGGCGGCGUGGAUAAGACAUGCAAGUCGAACGGGACAGACCGAGUAGCAAUAUUUGGAAUGUUCAGUGGCGAACGGGUGCGUAACACGUGGAUAACAUUCCGGAAAGCGGGGAAUAGCCCAGGGAAACUUGGAUUAAUACCGCAUGUGGCCGCAAGGCUAAAGACGGGGACCGCAAGGCCUGUCACUUUUCGAUUGGUCCGCGGCCUAUCAGCUAGUUGGCGGGGUAAUGGCCCACCAAGGCUACGACGGGUAGCUGGUCUUAGAGGACGACCAGCCACACAGGAACUGAGACACGGUCCAGACACCUACGGGUGGCAGCAGUCGAGAAUCUUUCACAAUGGGGGCAACCCUGAUGGAGCGACGCCGCGUGGAGGAUAAGGUCUUCGGAUUGUAAACUCCUGUCAUGCGAGAACAAGGUACUCAGGCUAAUAACCUGAUUGUUUGAUGGUACCGCAAGAGGAAGAGACGGCUAACUCUGUGCCAGCCGCCGCAGUAAAAC
rnacentral:rRNA from 1 species